AAAGACAUUCAAAUCCUGCAUCCUCUUCACUUUUUCAUGUACUGCAGCUUCUUUCAACCACCUUCCAUAUUUUAUUCUUCACUCAUUUAUCACAUACAACCCCUCUAUAAUCACAUGCAACAAAACCAAUAUAAUCGUGGAAUUCGCAUCACCACAACUUCAACGUACACCCCCUCUCAAAGCUCCGAUAUCGCUACCGACCACCAUCUUUCCGUUUUCAUUUUCAGGCACACGUGAAUCCUCUUGUAGCGGCAUUGCAACGAAACAACAACACCGCCCACACGAUAACGCUACUCAGCAUUUCAGCAACAACACGCAGCAACUUGGGUUUGUUUCUUUUAUUUCUCCUUUUGUUGUUUUUGAUGCGGUUUGGUUAAUAUUGCUUUCUCUUCACAUUUUUGUUAGCAUGCAUGUUUUGAUUAUGUUUUAGUUUUGCCGAUAUCGUUGUGUAGCUUAUUUUUUCUUGCUAUUUGCGUUUUGAUGUUGAAGAUAUUUACUGAACUAUGUUGUUGUUGUUGUUUGUACGUGUGCAUUGCAUUGAGAAAUUAUAUUGAAGUUUGUUUUAAUUUUCACACAUACACUGCAUUUACAUAUACAUGAACCUAUAUUCUUAGUAUAUAGAGUUGGUUUUAAAAUAUAUAUACAGUUAGUUUCCUAUUUUUCUUUCAUUUAUUUACUUUUUUAGUUAAUUUUAUAAUAUAUACAUUCAUAUUAUGUUUUGUUAUGCAUAUAUAAAUUUUUGAUUUAAGUUAUAUAAUAUAUAAUAUAUAUAUAUAUAUAUAUAUUUUGAUUUAGAAAGGUAGUAUAUAUACUGAAAAGUUGUUGCAUAAGAUAUAAUUUGAUUUUAUUUAUAUAAAUUUUUGGUUGUACUAAUUUUAUGACUAGUCACUCAUGGCUUGGUGGCUAAAACAUCUUAUGUUUGCCAUAAGGGCCUUAGUUCAAGUUCAAUCGUUGGGCUCUCGUAAUUAUUUGGUUUAGAUUAAUCUUUUUUGUAUCUCCUAUUUAAUUAAAAAAAACAUUGUUGCUUUAUUCUAUUUUUGUUUUUAUUUUAUUUUUAUUUUUUAAAUGCGUCAAAAAAGUAAAUUAUUUAUUUAUUCAUAUAUUUAUUUACUUUUUUUAAUUGACUUAUUUUUGGGUCUUUGUAUAUAAGUUAUUUUGUAGGAGGGUCCAUUCAACUCCUUUUGUAUUCCAAUCUUCGUACUUCGAUCAUUUGAACCUCAAACCUUCACACUCCAAUAUUCAAUUUUUUUUCUCUCUCAUUAAAAUGUGAAGAAAAAGAUUACCUUGAAUGGAAUAUCCAGUCGUAAUCUCGAAUAUUAGGCUCAAGUUGUAAGAGCUUGUAAGCCCUAUGUAUUCGUCUUCUCUUUAAAAUGCUCCAAUAUUCAAAUCUUUUUCUCAAUAAAAUCUGAAGAAAAAGAUUAUCCUGGAUGGAAUAUCCAGUCGUAAUCCCGAAUAUUAGACCCAAAUUGUAAGAGCUUGUAAGUCAUAUGUAUUCGGCUUCUCCUCUAAAACACUUGUAAAUAUUCACACAAAAAAUUCCAAUAAAAUUGAAAGAAAUAUAUUACCUGGGUGAAAGGUCCAGACGUAGUCCCGAGUAUUAGACCCAAGUUGUAAGAGCUUGCAAGUCAUAAAUAUUCAUCUUUCAAGCCCAAAAAUACAUCCAACCAAUCAAACACUUUUUCGCCGCCGCGCGAUUGAUUAGAAAAUCUUUUUCAUAAACGAAAGACAUCUUGUCUUAAGAUGAUGCAAAGAAAUGCUUCGGCCACAAUUGUUGAAUUGAGAUAAGUGACGUUUUUCCAAAUGUUGAUUUGUAAAUCCAUUCGAUGUGUGGUAUACGUCUGCUCCUCAUCUGUUUUGGGUAAAAUAUUGUUUUCGUCUAUUAAUGCAAUAUAGCUUUCGCUAAAAUCGACCAACAAACAAAUAUUUUUCUACCAGAAACUACGUAAGCCUUGAGUUCUCUAUUGAGAUACGUAGGAGCAGGAUUGUGAAAUCUUGUCAGGCCCAUUAAUAAAAAACUUAGGUUUAGUCCCCUUCGUUGCAAAAAAAUCCAAAAACAUCUUCUCUUUUCUUUUGAUCCUAUUAUUCUUUCCCUCAUAAUAUCUUGAGAAUCCUAACAUUUCAAGCUAACACUAAUGCGCACAAUUAACCUAAUGGUUCCCGUUGAGUACAACGGACGUGAGGGGUGCUAAUACCUUCCCCUUGCAUAAUCGACUCUCGAACCCUGAUUUGGUUGCGACGACCAUAAUCAUUGUCGUUCUUUCUUGGGUUUUAUCGAUAUUUCCCCUUUCCUUUUUAGGGAUAAUUAAAGUUCGAUGGCGAAUCUGUUCAGUCCAUAAUUGCGAGCGUGCAAUUGCGCCUCGCUUAGUCGUGUUUUCAUUUUUCGAGGUGCGACAGAUGGCGACUCUAUUCAGUCCAUAAUUGCGAGCGUGCAAUUGCGCCUCGCUUAGUCGUGUUUUCAUUUUUCGAGGUGCGACAGAUGGCGACUCUGGUGGGGACACAUUUGUCUCCCUAAGUGAGUCAAGCCUAGUUAGGUUGUUUAUGUGCCUUUGCUUGUUUACUUUUGUGGCUUUUCUUUAUUGUUUUUUCUAUGUUUAUUGUCUUAUUGAUAAAAUAUGAUGUAUUGGUUCGAUUAUGCUUUGGUACUUGGAAGUCAUAAAUACUCGGGUCUAAUACUCGGGACUACGUCUUUUAAGCCCCAAAAUACAUUCAACCAAUCAAACUCUUUUUCUUCGCCGUGCGAUUGAUCAGAAAAUCCUUUUCAUAAAUGAAAUACAUCUUAUCUUAAGAUGAUGCAAAGCAAUGCUUCGGCCAGAAUUGUUGAGUUGAGAUAAGUGACGUUUUUCCGAAUGUUGAUUUCUAAAUCCAUUCGAUGUGUGGUAUACGUCCGCUCCUCAUCUGUUUUGGUAAAACAAUGUUUUCGUCGAUUAAUACAAUAUUUCUUUCGCUAAAAUCGACCAACAAACAAAUAUUUUUCUACCCAAAACUACGUAAGCCUUGAGUUCUCUAUUGAGAUACGUAGAAGCAGGAUUGCGAAAGCUUGUCAGGCCCAUUAAUAAAAAACUUAGGUUUAGUCCCCUUCGUUGCAAAAAAAUGCAAAAACAUCUUCUCUUUUCUUUUGAUCCUAUUAUUGUUUCCCUCAUAAUAUCUUGAGAAUCCUAACAUUUCAAGCUAACACUAAUGCGCACAAUUAACCUAAUGGUUCCCGUUGAGUACAACGGACGUGAGGGGUGCUAAUACCUUCCCCUUGCGUAAUCGACUCCCGAACCCUGAUUUGGUUGCGACGACCAUAAUCAUUGUCGUUCUUUCUGGUUUUAUCGAUAUUCCCCUUUCUUUUUAGGGAUAAUUAAAGUUCGAUGGCGAAUCUGUUCAGUUCCAUAAUUGCGAGCGUGCAAUUGCGCCUCGCUUAGUCGUGUUUUCAUUUUUCGAGGUGCGACAGAUGGCGACUCUGGUGGGGACACAUUUGUCUCCCUAAGUGAGUCAAGCCUAGUUAGGUCGUUUGUGUGCUUUUGUUUGUUUACUUGUGUGGCUUUUCUUUAUUAUUUUUGCUAUCUUUGUUGUCUUAUUGAUAAAAUUUGUUGUAUUGGUUCCAUUAUGCUUUGGUACUUGGAUACUCUGAUUACAAACCAUGUGGGAAAGACUUUUUACCCGAGUCUCGAGUAAAAACAUAAGAUAGGAUGAGGUUGAGUAGCGCGGGUCCGCGAGAUGAAUUUCUCGUUGGGUUAGUGCGAGAACCUUACUUAGAGUAGAUUCUUGAGAGGAUGUUGUCGCUCGGCAAGUAAGUUGUCGUAAGCUUCGAUUGUUUCUUUAGGAUCCAUGACUCUGAGAACCAUUUGUAGAACCUUAAUCCUUUGUCCAACUAGGAAAGAUGGUUGUGUAGCAUGGGUCUGUGAGUUGAAUUUCUCGUUGGAUCGAUGCGAGAACCUCACUUAGAGUAGAUUCCUUAGAUGGAGUUGAUGCCCGACAAGUAAGUUACUGCAGGUAGCAAACAGUCUAAUGGAUCCAUGACUAUAGGAACCUUUUUUGAAACCUUAGAUCAUACCUUGUGAGAACCAUGUUCUAUAUGAAGCAAUCAAACUUAUCUAUGCCUUAAGCCUAUUGAACUUAUACAAAAAAAAAAUGCAUCACGUUCAUCCAUAUACAUUGCAUCAACAUCAUAAAAAGCAAACUCUUAGUUGUCUCUUAUUUGUUUCAGGAAUUGAGAACUUGAAAAUGACAACUCCAAGGAGACACACUUUCACACUUAAGUACAAGGAACCUAAGCUUGACAGUCUGAAGGGUUUGAUAUCUGAUUUGACUCUUAGUAAGCGUGAUGAUUUCGGAAAAUACUAUGCAAAAAUUUUGAGCCUUCUGACUAAGAAAGUUGACUAUGGGAUUAUCAACUCAUUGGCACAAUAUUAUGAUCCACCUCUACGCUGUUUCACAUUCGCUGAUUUCCAACUAGCUCAUACUUUGGAAGAAGUUGAGAGAAUCGUGGGUCUCAAAUUGAAAGAUUUCAAUCCAUUUCCAAAGCUCGAAGAGGAAGCGGGCCCAAAGAAGAUAGCGUUAGCCCUAAGUAUCAAUGUCCCAACUGUUCUAGACAAUUGGGUUGAGAAAGGGGGUUUUAAAGGUUUUGCCAUGAUGUUCUUGGAAGCUUUAGCUCUGAAGUUCAAGAAAAAAGGAAAUUGGAACGCAUUCUAUGCCGUGUUGGCUUUAUUGAUCCAUGGGAUUGUGCUCUUCCCAAAUGUUGAAAAGUUUGUGGAUCAGGUAGCCAUAGAAGUAUUUCUCUCUGGAAAUCCUGUACCAUUUCUCUUAGCUGACAUUUACCAUGCCCUUCAUGCUCAACAUGAAAAGAGGGGUGGAACUUUUUUGUGUUGUGCUCCUUUGCUUUAUACUUGGUUCAUGCAACAUAUGCCCAAAAAAGGCCAUUUUAUGGCAAAGGAACUUAAAUAUCCUCAAAGACUAGCUUCUCUCACUGCAAGUUCCAUCCAAUGGUAUAUCCGAGAGUGGGAAACCCCAGACAUUAUUGUCACCUGUGGGGAAUUUCCUAAUGUACCAUUGUUAGGUACUAAGGGUUGCAUCAAUUAUAACCUUAUGUUAUCUCGAAUGCAACACGGCUACUCCAUGGAUGGUCCUCCUGACGCAAAGGACUUACAGCCAUUUGUGCUCUUUGACAUCCAAGCGAGUAAUCCUGAUGUAAGAGUGAUCCGAAAGGCUUGGUUGAAGAUUGUUAGGAAGGGUAAAGAGUUUGGAAAAAGAAACACUCUUGUCAAAGAACCUUACACUCGAUGGGUGAAAGAAAGAGUUGAGGAAAUCCAUUUGCCAUUUAUCUUUAAUGCUUCAGCUUUUCCUAAAAUUCCUGAGCCAAAGCCUAUACUCCCUGAGGACAUGGAGAAACUCACUACUAAGGUUAAAGAGCUCGAAUUGGAUAAUACUGAAUUACAGAUUCAGAUGAACCGAGCUAUCUUGGAAAAUAAAAAUUUGAAGGAUGAACGUAAGGGGAAAGCCCAGAAACUUGAGGAUAGUAACAAGAGAGUUAGGCUAUUGGAAGACCAGAAGGACGAUCUUGAUCAUAGCCUUAUAGGUUCCACAUCAGUGAUCCAGACCAGGAAGGAAGAGCUCAAGAAAGUUGAAUAUAGGAUUUGUGAGUUAGGAAGAAUGUUGGAUAGAUCUCUUAUGGAAACGAAAGAAAUUAAGAUUGACUUUGAGGCACAGAUCCGUGAAUUGAAGGACACUCUGAAGAAAUGCAAAGAAAAGUUGUCUCGCGAGAUACUCCAAACGAAAGAAGCUGAAAGAAACUGUCACCAUCUCAAGUACCAGUUGGAAGAAGCUAAUAGGAGGUUUGCAGUUUUGGAGAGACAAGAAGGUGAUGCAUCCUACUUGCUCCUAAAGAAUGAUUGUGUGUAUUGGAAAAGGCUGUAUAGAGAGGCUAGAGAAACAUUAGAUGAAGAUCAAUAGGUCAUCAAGAAACUCCAAGAGCUCUAUGUUGAAUGGAAUGGCAAGUUCCACAACUUAGCUAGAUUUGUUAACCUCAACAUGUUGGAACUCCCAGAAAAACUCCAGGAAGCCGAUUGGUGUAUGUGUCCAGAAAACACGCUUCCUCAAGUUUUCAAUUUCAUCAAUUUUUGCAAGAAAAUGACGAAGGAGCUCACCACAGAUCUUUCUACGAUCAUAAGAGCUGAUACGGAGCUUAAGUUUACUUGUACUUGAAUUUGAAUUGUUGAUGUUUAAAUCUUUUGUAUUUGAAUCAUUUGUACUUGAAGUUAAAUCCUUUUGUAUUCAAAUUUGAUUUUAAUUAAUGGAAGUUGUCAUUUUGGGCCUCAAUUAUUACGUUUGAUUCUUAUUUAAUAUAUUCUAACAUUGCUGGAAUAAAUAAUAAAGAUAACUAAGAGCUUUGCAUAAAAUGCACCCAUAACAUACACUCAUGUCAUUCUUCAAACAAAAAACUCAUUUUUGUGUCUUCUUCAGUUCCACACUGAGUCCUCAACACCACUACAACACCAGAGCCAACGCUCGUCAAAGAAUGGAUCUUCAAACAAAAAACUCAUUUUUGUGUCUUCUUCAGUUCCACACUGAGUCCUCAACACCACUACAACACCAGAGCCAACGCUCGUCAAAGAAUGGCAGAUCAAGAACAAGAAUUGGAGAGAGUAAGGUCAGAACUUGAAGACCUACGAAGAAACAUGGGUCAAGUCAUGGAGAUACUACAAGUCAUUAAGGCCAAGUUAGACACCCAAACGACAGUCGUUUCAGAAAUCACUGGUUCUACGAUUGAACCCCAACCUGCGAGGACAGUGCCGACCACUUGGCCAGUCUAUGGUUUACCUCCCGGCUUCACACCUCCAGUUGAAGGCGCCCCUGGGUUUGUACAAUCCACUCAGCAGACGGUUCCUCUACCAACUAUCAAUGAAACUCAUCCCGUGGUCCACACGUUCGCACCACCCCUUGUCCAUGCACACGUGCAACCUUAUUUUAAGGAUCAACAACAUGCUCCGGAUUUUUGGGAUGAAGAUGAUGAAAGGAAUGAAGACAUAAGAGGAAUUAAAGAGAACUUCCAGAUUCUUGAGAAAAGGUUAAGGGCUAUGGAAGGUGACCAAGUCUUUGGUGCUGCUGCUAGGGAGAUGUGCUUAGUGUCAGGUAUUGUAAUUCCCACGAAAUUCAAGACCCCAUAUUUCGAUAGGUACGAGGGCCACUCAUGUCCUAAAAGUCACCUUAUUAUGUACUAUCGAAAAAUGGAUGCACACGCAGAGGACGAUAAACUUAUGAUACAUUGCUUCCAAGACAGCUUGAGGGGUACUCCCUCUAAGUGGUAUUUAAGCCUUGAUCAAAGUAGAAUUCGUUGUUUCCAAGACUUAUCUGAUGCUUUCAUCCAACAUUAUAAGUAUAACAUGGAUAUGGCCCCAGAUAUGAGGCAAUUGCUCAACAUGUCCCAGAAAGAUAACGAGUCAUUUAAGGAAUAUGCACAAUGAUGGAGGGAAAUGGCCUUACAAGUCAAACCACCCCUUGUCGAGAAGGAGUUAGCAGAUUGGUUCAUGGAUACGGUAAAACCUAUGUUCUAUGAAAGGAUGGUGAGUAGUGUAUCAGCAAGCUUCUCUGACUUGGUUACCGUGGGCAUAAAGGUCGAGCUUGGAUUGAAGAAUGGAAAAAUGAUAACCACCUCUGAAACAUCUGGUAAUAAUGUCAAAAAGUUUCCCGGAAGUUUUCAAAGAAAGAAAGAGGGUGAAACAAGUGCAGUGUCAACCAGUCAAAGAAGGAGUCAUUCGUGGAAGAAGCAACAUCAAUUUGCUCAGCAACAACCAAUUUAUCUAGUGCAGUAUAUUCAACAAUAAUAUGUGGCAGAAGUCACACCAAAUUUCAACCAAUCACAAGCUCCUGUCUAUCAACCUAUUCAACAAGCACCAGUAUACUAGCAAGCACCCAUGCCACCCGCUUAUCAACAACCAAGGGCACAGGCUCCACGUCCACAAAAUCUUCCAAAUCAAAAUAGGGUACAAAGAGGUAGACCUCCUUUCGCUUCAAUCCAUAUGACAUACACUGAGUUAUACCCAUCGUUACUGCAAAAAGGGUUGGUGACUCCCAGACCUUUGGGUCCUUCACCAAAUACUUUACCUCCAUGGUACAAUCAAGAUGCCCAUUGUCCUUUCCAUGAGGGUGCCCCUGGGCAUGAUUUAGAGGGAUGUUAUGCUUUGAAGCAUUUUGUGCAAGAGCUGGUUGAGAAGAAGAUCCUUUCAUUCCGAGAUGUUGGACCCAACGUAAAAAGUAGCCCUCUGCCAAUGCAUGGUGAUGUUAAUGCCAUUGAGGAUGUUUCUGAUGUUCGUAUAAUAAAAAAUGUUAAAGAUGUUAAAACUCUGUUGCUAGCACUCCAUGCAAGAUUGGUGGGAGCUAGUUUGAUUGAUACCUGUCACGACAACUGUGAAGAAUGUGCCGUUUAUCCAAGGGGAUGUAAAAUGGUACGAACUGAUAUUCAAAACUUGAUGGAUCAAGGUGUUUUACAAGUUUGUGGUCCUGCAACAAACGAGGAAAUUUCAGUCAUUGAACCCUUUUUCAAUCUACCAGAACCUGUUGAGAUAACUUAAAAAACUUGAUGGAUCAAGGUGUUUUACAAGUUUGUGGUCCUGCAACAAACGAGGAAAUUUCAGUCAUUGAACCCUUUUUCAAUCUACCAGAACCUGUUGAGAUAACUUAUCAAAGAAAAGAUGUUGUUCAUCAAUCACUCGUGGUAGUUUGUAUGCCUACCCCCUUUCCCUUUGAAAGCACCAAAGCGGUACCUUGGAAAUAUGACAUAAAUGUGGUAGAUGGAGUGGUAGAUGAAGAACCCAAAGAUGUUGAAGGUGAGAAAAGCUUGGAGAAUGUUGACACCAAUAUCACUAUGUAAGACCCUAAUUUUGACCCUAAGAUCCCUCAUGGCAUCAUAUCAUUGCUCAUUGCAUUGCCUCAAGGAUCAUAGCAUGUGUAGCUCCUUAACCCUUGGGUUGGGACUUGUGUGAGUUGGUUUGAGACCACCAAGCAUGCUUGAAUUGUAUAUUAUUGUGUUUAUUAUUUUUUUUAUUAACCAAAAGCACAAAAGUAUGUCACUAACCUCUUUUGUUUUUAAGCUCAAGUGAUCACAUGUGCCCUUGCUCCUAGGAGUCUCCUAUGCUCAAUGAAGUGGCUAGAUGAAGAUGAAAGCAGCAUGACAAUGGUUCCCAAAGCUCUCAAUCAUCAUAUAUGUCUCCCAAGUAUCUCAAUUUGUCAAUUUGAUCAAGAUAAACUAAAGGGCUUGAGGAUUAUUUCCCAAGGAAACCCUAAUUCAAUUGUGCAUUGACUGUGCAUUGUUCAUGAAGCAACCUCAAUCUAUGAUAAAAUUCAACAAAGGGAAGUUCUUUCAUUCAUUAUUUUAUGCAUAUAUGCGCCUAUGUGAGUAUCCUUAAUCAUUCAUUCAUCAAGAUUUGAAGUUUGGCCUUGAGAAGAUGACCAGUUAAGUCAUCUGACUAAACUGAGAAUCCCUAAGACCUAACUUUUUAUGUGUUUGUCAAAUGAAGAUGACCCCAAGAGAAACAAUGUUCUUAAGAACCAUAUGAACAACUUUCAUGUUCAUCAAAAAUCCAUUUGAAACAUGGAAGGUCAUUAUUAAUUUCAAAACAUUAUAGGUCAUUUUGACUGAAACCCUAAUCUUGGGUCAACUUCCCGAGGACCUAACUCCUUCAUUUUUUAUGAUUUUUAGGUUAGACCAGUUGAAUUGGAAAGAUUAAUAUGUCUACUUAAAAUGUUAUGUUGGAAAAAAUUUCAUAAUCCUAAAAGAAACACAUGUGAUAAUACAAAACAUUAUAAGUCACUUUGGACCAAAACCAUUGAAUAUUGAAAAAGUCCAAUUUCAAGUGCCCAUAACUUUCUCAUAAAAAAUCCAAAUGAUGAAAAAUUUAAGUCUAAAUUUAUCAUCUUGAAAAUAUCUACAAGUUUUAUGUUGGAGGUGUUUCCAUUUUAGGCUUACGUCAUUAAAAUAGAAGGGCUUGAAGUUGGUCACUUUUGAGAAAAAUUUUCAAAGGGAACUUAUAUAUGUUUUGUACCUCAAACUUCAAGGCCAGUUUUCACAAAUUUCCAAACUCCAAAUGGAUUUUUUCCCAACAUAUCUUUUGUUCCUUAUGUCAAGACCUUUCCAACCAUUACUCAUAUGCCUAUGUUUGGAUUUUCUAUGUGUGACUUUCGAAGAGGUGAACAUUUAUGCCCAAUUAUGCAUUUCACUUUGAAUCUUCAUGCACAAGACAUUGCAGUUCAAAUUGCACGUCCAUUCCAACUUCAAAUGAGUUCAGCUUGCAAAUUCACUUGAGUUUGGGCCUCACAUGCGCCUGUACAGGCCCAUGCAUGGAGGACCCGAAGCUUCACGCACACGAGUUUUCCCUCACUUAGCAUCAGCUCCAGCUAUAAAUACAAUGCCAUGCUCAUUCUAAAUGGAACCUCAAGGAAACCUAAAACUCUGGAGAAGUGAAAACCCAACCAUACCAAAGGAAUUCUGAUUUUUUAUUUUCUCAAUUCAAGCUUGAAUUUCAACAAAAUCAGUUGAUCUUCAAGACUUAUUCCUUAGCCUUACAUUCAUACCACAUCUCAAGAUCAAAUUGGAAGCAAAAGUUUGGAAGGAAUCGUGUUGAUCAAAGCUGCUCUUCAAAGGUAUAUGAUCCAACUGUUUUGAUCUGAAUCUCAUCAUACAAUGUGAAUUGCUUGUGUUCAAAUGGUUUUCUGAAGUCCUCGUGCAAGAGGCAAGCUAGUGGUGCCUUUGAUUUCAUGUUUUAAAGCACUUUAGUUUGCACACCUUGAAUUUCCAACUCAGAUUUCACACUUGAUAGAGAUCUUGAGGACAAUCCAAGGUUACAAGGGUGAUGUACAUCACCCCAGCUUCAUUUUGGUACCAGGCUCGUGUGUUUUGGUUGAGGUUCAAAAACCUGCAACUGGUGGCCGAAAUUAGUUGAUUCACCGGAGAAGACGGUGGUUUCCACCACCGUCCCCACGUGGAUGAGUCUGUGCCCUUGGAUGAGGCUCCCACGAUCUAAUCUUGGCCAUGCAUUCUAUUGACCUUUUUAAUUCAGUUUGUUGCGCGCUUGACUAACGCCUACCAUGGAAACGCGCUUCUGAGCCCUUGGAUGUUGCCACAACAAUUAAUGAAGUGGAUCCAGCGCUUCUGAUUUUUUAGCAUUUUCUAAUUUCUGUUUUAUUUUCUUUUAUUCCCUUUUAUUUCAAAAAUUCAUAACUAUUUAAUUUGAAAUCACAAAAAUAUAAGACCAAUACUAAAUUUUUUCUUGAAAAAUCUAGUUUCAUAAUCUGAUUUUUAAUUAUUUUUGUGAUUCCAUUUAAUAUUUUUUGUGAAUUAUUUUGUUUUAAUAGUUUUUUAAUUCAUUUUAAAUACUUUUUGAUAUCCAAAAAUUCCAAAAAUAUUUUCUUAACUUAUAUGUAUCAUGAUAAGUCUAUGAAAAAUAUUCUCAUCAAUUUCUUAAUUGAUUUGAGAUUUUAAUUCAUAAUGUUUUAUUUUAUUUGUUUUUUAAUUGAUUUUAAAUAUGUUCUGUUUUCAAAAAAUGUUGAGAAAAUUUGUCAAACUUUGUUUGACCAUGUUAGAAUUGUGAUGAUUCAAUUGGACUUGGUGAAGUUGAUUUGAAUUGAAUUUGAAGUUUGACCAUAUUUUGUUCAUUUUAUUUUAUGUAUUAUUUUAAUUCCAAAAAAUAUGUUUGACUUUGUUGACUUCUAAUCUUCAUUUCUCAUCUGUUUUACUUCGGUUGAUGAUGAUUUCAUUCACAUUUGAUCAUUGUGUUUUGAUUAUGUCAUUUGAAUUCUUGUUUAUCCAUUUCAUUUCAUUUCAUCUUCAUCUUCUUCUUCUUCUUAUUUUGUCCAAUGAGUUAAUGAUUUGUGGUUGAUCUUGACAUAUGAGAGGCUUAACCUUCUUUGAUCCAAAUCAAACUCAACUUGAUCAAAGAUCAAGUGAGUUGCUUUGUGUCCAAGAUAGGUUGCUUCUUGGUCAAGCAGAAAACCUAAAAUCCAUACAAGGCUUUCAUCUUUUCUUUUGGCAUGGCAAGUUGCAGGAGCUUGGCUUACUAGUCAUGAUCUCUAACUUGUGUUUAUUUGCCUAUAGUUUUAUUGACCGGCCUCAGAUAGGUGUGACUACUACAUUAGUCCAUUUACGAUUGCUUAACGUAGCGCUAAAUUGUCUUAUGACACACUAACAUUAACCACUAAUUACUAACUUUAAUUUGAGCAUUUAAUUCUUGCAAUUUACUUUAAUACAAUUUACUUUCUUGCUCAUUUAUUCAUAUUGCCUUUUCCCUUUGCUCACUUGAGCUCAUAUUUUAUGUUUAUGUCAUUUUCCUUUUGCUCACUUGAGCACAUUAUUGUAUGUAAAUAUAUUGUUGCUUUAUGCUUGUUUUGUUUUUGUUUUUGUGAACCCAAUGCAAAAAGGAGAAAGGACUUAGAAUUAUGACCUAAUCUAUGCUUAAAGGAGUUCAAGAGCAACUAGGCCUCAUGCCUUUAGAAUUCUAAACUUGUUGAAGAGCAACUAGGCCUCAUGCCUUUAGAAUGCUAAAUCUCAAAGUUGACUUCAAAUGACCCCUAAUCUAAACUUAUUCUUUGUCCAUUCCUCUUAUUGCAUUGUGAACUUUUUGAUUGUUUGUUCUUGUGUGAUAGGGAUUCCAAACUUGAGAUAGUAAGAAGGACCAUUGUCAUGAAUAGCCAAGUUAAGAGAGACAAGCAUGUGAACUUUUUGAUUGUUUGUUCUUGUGUGAUAGGGAUUCCAAACUUGAGAUAGUAAGAAGGACCAUUGUCAUGAAUAGCCAAGUUAAGAGAGACAAGCCAAAUGGAGAUCCUAGGAGCUUGAAUGAAUAUUUGUUUGAUUGCUUGAGUUAAUUUCUAAGUCCAAAGGAAAGGAGCAUCUUGAAUCAUCUCUAUGAUCUCAAGAAAAGGAACUCCAGGGGUUUUAUCUCUUCUCUUAUGUUUGCAUGUUUAGGACUAGCCCUUCUCUUCUUCUCUCCACUCUAACCCAAGCCAAACUCAUUUUGUGCAAACUUUGAUUUUGUUUUCAAACUAGAAACCUAAGCCUUAUGCCUUUGAAUUUCCAAAAUCAUUUUAUUAAUUCUCAUUGUGAAUAAACAUUAAUUCAACUUUGACCUCAUUUUGUGAAUACUUCUAAUUUGUAAAUACAAUUCACUUCAAGUUAAUUUUGUGGUUCCAAUGACCACCUUUGUUAAAACUUUUUUCAUAAACAUUAGUCAUUAGGUUUGAGUUAUCAUAGUGGUUGAUGUAAACCUCACCUUAUCCUUAGUGAUUGGACUAUAAGUCUUCCUUACUUAUUAUAGGGUGGAUCCCUCACUAGUAUGUUGAAGCUCUCCUCACAUGGUGG
rnacentral:lncRNA from 1 species